rnacentral:misc_RNA from 1 species
AAUUCUCAACCCCUCUCGAUUUGCUUCGAGAGGGAGCUUGGAUCGUGGAGGCUGCCGGAGACCAGUUUUUCAGGACUCGGGCUCCUCUGAAAUGUAUUGGCUUGCGGUCGACUUUCGACUGUGCAUGACAAGGCCUUUGGCGUGAUAAUGAUCGCCGCUCGCCGAAGUGCACGAACGAAUGGUCUCGUGCCUCUAAUCAGUCGACGCCUUUUCGAAGGCGUCUUCCUUAUCGAC